AUGAGCCUUUUGACACACGAUAUCUAUGAUCGGUUGAAACGGUGAAUCUUCGAUUAGUGUUACCAACAUUGAUCCGUCUCCCAGUUCCGACCACUAUAACCGUUAAACCCGUUGCCACUCGAAUACGUUUGAGACCGGCUCGUCCGGAAAAUCCUCCGGUCGUAAUCCGCUCGCUUAUCGGGAUCCGAUAGGGUGGAAUACGCGGCGUGGAUUUUCAUAAACUCCUCUCCGGAUGAGUCAUUCACAUCCGGGUGUGACGUCCGGGCGAGCCUCCGGUACGCCGUUUUGAUCUCACUUUCGGUAGCCUCCAUCGAGAUUCCGAGAAUUCCGUACAACGACGACGGUGGUGAGGUAGCAAAGCACGUGUUGUCACCGGUGGCGGAGAUAGGUGAUGUACGAGUUGAAUUACGGAUGUUGGGUGACGGCAGAGCCGUGGGGGAUGCGUGUAGCGGCGGCGGUGACGGUGGUCGGAGGCGGAGGGAGUUGGGAUUAGAUACGGGUGAGAACAUUGUUAACGGUGUGUGGUCGUGGGUUGUGGACGUGGUGUGGAAAUGAAAUAGCAUUGGAUAUAUAUAAGCAUGGUGGUAUUCUUUUAUUGUUCCCCUCCAAUAAUUUCUAUUUUCUUUAAUAUUAUAUUGUUUUAAUAUUAUAAUAUAAUUAUGAUAAUUGUCUAUUGUUCUAAUAUUUCAUCCAUUCAGUGU
rnacentral:lncRNA from 1 species